rnacentral:rRNA from 1 species
UAAAACGGUGCAGGUAGCAAUACCUGAGUCUAGCGGCAAACGGGUGAGUGACACGUGGGUGACCUACCUCGCGGUGGGGGAUAACGGGGGGAAACUCGGGCUAAUACCGCAUAAGAUCGUGAGAUCAAAGCGGCCCGCAAGGGUCGCGCCGUGAGAGGGGCCCGCGUCUGAUUAGCUGUUGGUGAGGUAACGGCUCACCAAGGCGACGAUCAGUAGCCGGCCUGAGAGGGCGAUCGGCCACACUGGAACUGAGACACGGUCCAGACUCCUACGGGAGGCAGCAGUGGGGAAUUUUGCGCAAUGGGGGAAACCCUGACGCAGCAACGCCGCGUGGAGGAUGAAGGUCCUUGGAUUGUAAACUCCUGUCAGCAGGGAAGAACUCCUUACGGUGAAUAACCGUAAGGAUUGACGGUACCUGCAGAGGAAGCCCCGGCUAACUCUGUGCCAGCAGCCGCGGUAAUACAGAGGGGGCAAGCGUUAUUCGGAAUUAUUGGGCGUAAAGGGCGCGUAGGCGGCUUCGCAAGUGGUGGGUGAAAUCCCUCGGCUUAACCGAGGAACUGCCCUCCAAACUGCGUUGCUGGAGUCCGGGAGAGGUGAGUGGAAUUCCCAGUGUAGCGGUGAAAUGCGUAGAUAUUGGGAGGAACACCAGUGGCGAAGGCGGCUCACUGGACCGGAACUGACGCUGAGGCGCGAAAGCGUGGGGAGCAACGGGAUUAGGUACCCCGGUAGUCCCACGCCGUAACGAUGAGUGCUUGGUGUAGCGGGUAUCGACCCCUGCUGUGCCGAAGUCAACACAUUAAGCACUCCGCCUGGGGAGUACGGUCGCAAGGCUGAAACUCAAUGAAUUUGACGGGAAGGC